GAGACUUCGGUCUCUAGCGGCGGACGGGUGAGUAACACGUGGGUAACCUGCCUCAAACAGGGGGAUAGCCUCCCGAAAGGGAGAUUAAUACCGCAUAACAUCGCGCUAUCGCAUGAUAGUGUGAUUAAAGGAGUAAUCCGGUUUGAGAUGGGCCCGCGGCGCAUUAGCUAGUUGGUGAGGUAACGGCUCACCAAGGCGGGGAUGGGUAGCCGACCUGAGAGGGUGAUCGGCCACAUUGGAACUGAUACACGGCCCAGGAUCCUACGGGAGGCAGCUUCCCAUCUUGAAUAAACUCGAGCCCAUCCG
rnacentral:sRNA from 1 species